GAGGAAGUAAAAGUCGUAACAAGGUUUCCGUAGGUGAACCUGCGGAAGGAUCAUUACAGAUAAUUUUGAGGUUGUUGCUGGCCCUUCAUUCAAAGAAGGGCAUUUGUGCACACUUCUUUAUUAUUCCAUCUCUACUCUUGUGAACUAUGUGUAGGCUUUUUUGAAUGAGAAUUAUUUAUUGUUUAUAAAUGAUUCAUUUUCAAAAUCAAGUCUAUGUAUUUCUCAUUAUUACAUGCAUGUUGUGUAGAAUGUCAUUAUUAGUAUUGGUUUGUUUAAUUAUGAGCAUUCCAAGAAUAUAAUUAUACAACUUUUAACAACGGAUCUCUUGGCUCUCGCAUCGAUGAAGAACGCAGCGAAAUGCGAUAAGUAAUGUGAAUUGCAGAAUUCAGUGAAUCAUCGAAUCUUUGAACGCACCUUGCACUCCUUGGCCAUUCCGAGGAGUAUGCCUGUUUGAGUGUCAUAAUUAAACUCUCAUGAUAUUUCUAAAGCUGUAAAACAUUUUGGGAAUAUUAUGGAUUUUGGAGGUUGUGCUUUUAGUUGCUUAUUUUGUAGGCAAGUCUUUUAGCUCCUCUUAAAUAUAUGAGUGAAGUAUCUUCCAUUGUUGUGGAUAGGCUUUGAUUUUGAUAACUUUAUUAUCAUUGCCGUGAAACAAUUGCAACUUUGCUUCCAAACUCCCGCAUAUCUGAGAAUAUGUCUCUUUAAAGUUUUGACCUCAAAUCAGGUAGGACUACCCGCUGAACUUAAGCAUAUCAAU
rnacentral:rRNA from 1 species